rnacentral:snRNA from 1 species
CAUCCUGUAUAUAGCUCUAGAUU